GGGCUGCCCCAUGGCAGUGGGUUAUCAGAACUUACUAAUGUUAGUGUCACUAAAGUUGGUAUAUGACCCCCGCCACAUGCUACUAAAUUUUGACUGCCUUUAA
rnacentral:Y_RNA from 1 species